rnacentral:rRNA from 1 species
GGCCAGCAGCCGCGGUAAUACGUAGGUGGCGAGCGUUGUCCGGAAUUACUGGGCGUAAAGGGCGUGUAGGCGGCCUUUUAAGUCAGACGUGAAAACCCUGGGCUUAACCCAGGACCUGCGUUUGAUACUGAAGGGCUUGAGGACCGGAGAGGGCAGUGGAAUUCCCAGUGUAGCGGUGAAAUGCGUAGAUAUUGGGAGGAACACCAGUGGCGAAGGCGACUGCCUGGACGGCACCUGACGCUGAGGCGCGAAAGCCAGGGGAGCAAACGGGAUUAGAUACCCCGGUAGUCCUGGCUGUAAACGAUGGGUACUAGGUGUGGGAGGUAUCGACCCCUUCCGUGCCGCAGCUAACACAAUAAGUACCCCGCCUGGGGAGUACGGCCGCAAGGUUGAAACUCAAAGGAAUUGACGGGGGCCCGCACAAGG